GCCCUGGUCUCCAGCAGGGAACACUUCACUGGUAAUACAGAAAGUACUUUCACUUCAACACAGCACUUAAGAGGGUUAUGACUCAUUGAUAAAAGAAGAACUUUUUCAAAUACAUUGCAUUUUUGAUGGUGUAUUAUGGAUACCAAGGAAGAGAAGAAGGAACGGAAACAAAGUUAUUUUGCUCGUUCCCCCAGGCCGGUGCUGCUCAGGGAAUCUAGCUGCCCUUAUCCACUGCAGUUUACUCAGAAUCUCACAUUCAGCAACCAGCAUUGGAUUUUAAAUACCAAAUGCUUAGUUCUUGCUGUCCUGUAGCUUAAUUGGUUUAGCUGUAACUAAAAAUCUAUGACAUGUUUAAAGCUUAUUACCUUGUGGGGGAGUAUGUUACUAAAAAGAAUUUUUGUAGGUAGGUGGAAUGGGUGAAAUUCUAAUCAUUGGAGCCCAUGUCAUUUUUAAAGCUUGAACUGAUCCAACACAGAUAUAUUGUUGAUAUCAGAAUGGUCUUCAUUUAGUAUAUGAUCAGUUACAUUUAUGGAUUUAAGUAUCUAUGUGACAGCUGCCCAUUAAUCAUUAUGAAUGAUCUGCUAAAACAUUUAUUAAUCAUUUUAAAGGUGGAAUAUUUUUAAACUCAGAGAACAUAGGCUUAAAAUCAUCAGUAUGGUCUUGUAAAUUGAAAUACUUCUUAAGAACUGAAUGUUGACUCACCACAUACCCAGCCUCCAAUCUUUGCUCAUUAAAGUUACAUUUCCUGUUUUACAAAUAUUAGCUUUAGAAACUGAGAAGCAGUGUUUUCUGUUGAAAUUUUUAUCCAGAAAUUAAGCUAGGUUAUAGAUUGUUAAUGAUGAAAUGAAGGAA